rnacentral:rRNA from 1 species
UACGUAGGGUGCGAGCGUUGUCCGGAAUUCUUGGGCGUAAAGAGCUCGUAGGCGGUGUGUCGCGUCGGCCGUGAAAACCUGGGGCUCAACUCUGGGCGUGCGGUCGAUACGGGCAUCACUGGAGUUCGGCAGGGGAGACUGGAAUUCCUGGUGUAGCGGUGAAAUGCGCAGAUAUCAGGAGGAACACCCGUGGCGAAAGCGGCGCUCUGGGACGGUACUGACGCUGAGACGCGAAAGCGUGGGGAGCGAACAGG